rnacentral:rRNA from 1 species
CAGCCGCCGCGGGAAUACGGAGGGGGCUAGCGUUGUUCGGAAUUACUGGGCGUAAAGCGCGCGUAGGCGGCUUGGUAAGUUAGAGGUGAAAGCCUGGGGCUCAACCCCAGAAUUGCCUUUAAGACUGCCGAGCUAGUAGGUGAGAGAGGUAAGUGGAAUUCCGAGUGUAGAGGUGAAAUUCGUAGAUAUUCGCAAGAACACCAGUGGCGAAGGCGGCUCACUGGCCCGGAACUGACGCUGAGACGCGAAAGCGUGGGGAGCAAACAGGAUUAGAUACCCCAGUAGUCCCUGUCUCUUAUAC